UGCGUAGGUGGUGAGGUAAGUCGGAUGUGAAAUCUCGGAGCUCAACUCCGAAAUGGCAUUGGAAACUACCUUGCUCGAGGGUUGGAGGGGGGACUGGAAUGCUUGGUGUAGCAGUGAAAUGCGUAGAUAUCAAGCGGAACACCAGUGGCGAAGGCGAGUCCCUGGACAACUCCUGACACUGAGGCACGAAAGCUAGGGGAGCAAACA
rnacentral:rRNA from 1 species